GUGGGGAAUCUUGCGCAAUGGGCGAAAGCCUGACGCAGCCAUGCCGCGUGAAUGAUGAAGGUCUUAGGAUUGUAAAAUUCUUUCACCGGGGACGAUAAUGACGGUACCCGGAGAAGAAGCUCCGGCUAACUUCGUGCCAGCAGCCGCGGUAAUACGAAGGGGGCUAGCGUUGCUCGGAAUUACUGGGCGUAAAGGGCUCGUAGGCGGACAGCUUAGUCAGAGGUGAAAGCCCAGGGCUCAACCUUGGAAUUGCCUUUGAUACUGGCUGUCUUGAGUUUGGGAGAGGUGAGUGGAACUCCGAGUGUAGAGGUGAAAUUCGUAGAUAUUCGGAAGAACACCAGUGGCGAAGGCGACUCACUGGCCCAAUACUGACGCUGAGGCGCGAAAGCGUGGGGAGCAAACAGGAUUAGAUACCCCUGUAGUCC
rnacentral:rRNA from 1 species